rnacentral:rRNA from 1 species
AUUGAACGCUGGCGGAAUGCUUUACACAUGCAAGUCGAACGGCAGCACGGGGCAACCUGGUGGCGAGUGGCGAACGGGUGAGUAAUACAUCGGAACGUGCCCAAUCGUGGGGGAUAACGUAGCGAAAGUUACGCUAAUACCGCAUACGAUCUACGGAUGAAAGCGGGGGAUCGCAAGACCUCGCGCGAAUGGAGCGGACGAUAUCAGAUUAGGUAGUUGGUGGGGUAAAGGCUCACCAAGCCAACGAUCUGUAGCUGGUCUGAGAGGACGACCAGCCACACUGGGACUGAGACACGGCCCAGACUCCUACGGGAGGCAGCAGUGGGGAAUUUUGGACAAUGGGCGCAAGCCUGAUCCAGCCAUUCCGCGUGCAGGAUGAAGGCCUUCGGGUUGUAAACUGCUUUUGUACGGAACGAAACGGUUCUCUCUAAUACAGGGGGCUAAUGACGGUACCGUAAGAAUAAGCACCGGCUAACUACGUGCCAGCAGCCGCCGUAACAC